ACAUUUAUGGCUUUAUAAUUGAUUUAUAAAAUCUUAUUUUUAAUCCUUUAAAUAGUUUGUAAGCAUAUUUAAAAUUUUUAUAAAAAAUUUUUAAAUUUGAAUAGAUGAAAUUUUUUUUUAAUGUAUAGUUCAUUUAAUAAUUUAAAUAAUGUAUUAAAAAAUUUAAUAAUUUCUUAAUUAUUUAAAUUCUUCAGAGUUUAUUAGUCUGCAAAUUCUUCUUUUUGACUUCCACUGAUCUGUUCUUUGACAAACAAUGGCAGGAGAGUUUGGUGGGUGGAGCAUUCCUCUCUGCUUUCCUUCAGUCUCUGUUCGAUCGGAUGGCUUCUCGAGAGGUUAUUGACUUCUUCAAUUGCCGACGACUCAAUGAUCAACUGCUGAAAAAGUUGGAUGCAACACUGAAUUCUGUCAAUGGACUACUUGAUGAUGCAGAGGAGAAGCAGUUGACUAACCAGUUGGUAAAAAUCUGGGUUAGCGAGCUUAGAGACUUGGCUUAUGAUGUGGAGGACAUUCUUGAUGAGUUUCACAUCGAAGCUCGUCGACGCGAGUUGAAAGCUGGUGCAAGCAAGGUACGAAAGCUCAUUCCUACUUCUUAUUCUGGGUUGAAGUUCAAUGCUGAGAUGAUCUCCAAGAUAAAGGGAAUUACUAUCCGAUUAGAAGAUAUGAGGUCACAGAAAAAUCUCCUGGAUUUGAGUUUGAGAGUGAUUGAUGAUGGUGGGAGGACCAGUAGAGUGAGAGAUAGAACCACAACCUGUGUGGUGAAUAAAGCAGAGGUUUAUGGGAGGGAGGAAGAUAAGAAGGCGAUACUUGAAUUUUUGAAUACUGAAUCAAGUGAUGCAAGAGUCUCUGUGAUUUCCAUAAUUGGAAUGGGAGGCCUUGGCAAAACAACUCUUGCGCAGCUUAUCUUUGAUGAAGUUAGAAUGAAGUUUGAUUUGGCUGCUUGGGUUUCAGUUGGCGAUGAUUUUGAUGUUUUUAGAAUUACCAAUGCAGUUCUUCUGUCGUUUGAUAGACAUUUUGAUGCCAAAAAUAAUUUGAAUUUACUUCAAGAAAAAUUGAAGGAAAUGCUGUCUGAGAAGAAAUUCAUGAUUGUCCUAGAUGAUGUUUGGAAUGACAAAUAUGAGGAUUGGACUCUCUUUCGUGGUCCCUUUGAAUAUGGGGCUAAAGGAAGUAGAAUUAUUGUCACAACUCGUGAGCAAAGAGUUUCAAGGAUGAUGGGCAGUGUUCAAGCUUAUCCUCUAAAGGGGUUGUCAGAUGGUGAUUGUCUCUCUGUACUUGCACAACAUGCUCUGGGAGCAACAAAUUUUGAUGAGCACUUGGAUCUGAAAGCAAUUGGUGAAAGAAUCGUGAAAAGAUGUGACGGGUUGCCUUUGGCAGCGAAAGCCGUUGGAGGCGUCCUACGGGGUCAACCAAACCAGAAGGUGUGGGAAAAAGUGUUUAGCAAUGACAUUUGGGAGGACAAAACUGGCAUUCUUCCAGCAUUGAGGUUGAGCUACUAUCAUCUUCCCUCACAUUUGAAGCAAUUAUUUGUUUUUUGCUCUAUAUUUCCAAAGGGUUAUAGUUUCAAUCAGGAUGAGCUAGUUUUGCUGUGGAUGUCUGAGGGUUUUCUUCCACAACUAGGAGAAAACAAGCAUAUAAAAGAGUUGUAUACUUGUUUUAAUGAAUUAUUAUCACGGUCAUUUUUUCAACGAUCGAGCAGCAUGGAACCACUGUUUGUGAUGCAUGAUCUCAUUAGUGAUCUGGCUCAAUAUGCCGCUGGAGAAAUAUUUGUUAGUUUAAAUGAUAAGCUGGAUGGUAACAAGCACUACUCAGUCACUGAAAAGAUUCGCCAUGUGUCAUUCAGUCGUCAUACGUACGAGCUAUGGAAUAGGUUCAAAGACUUAGGUAAACUGAAGCAUUUACGUACUUUCAUUGCAUUGCCAAUUCAUCUGUCAUCUUGGGCUGCUUGUUGCUAUUUAAGUAAUACUGUCUUAGAUGAAGCAGUGCCAAAAUUGAGAUGCCUAAGAGUACUGUCGCUAAGUGGUUAUUGCAUUAGUAGGUUACCAAACUCAAUCAGUGGUUUGAAGCACUUACGAUACCUUAAUUUGUCUUGUACUAAAAUCAAACGAUUACCAGAAUCUUUGACCAGUCUCUUAAAUCUACAGAUAUUGAUAUUAUUCGGGUGCAGGGAGCUCUCUAUGUUGCCACAAAAAAUUGGAAAUCUAAUCAACCUUUGUCAUCUAGAUGUCACAGAUACUUGUAACUUGAAUGAGAUGCCACCGGGAAUAGGAAAUUUGAUUGGUCUUUGGAAAUUGUCUAAGUUCAUUGUUGGGAAAGGCAAUGGUUGUGGGAUUAGAGAACUAAAAGAGUUGAAUAAUCUUCAAGGGAGACUUUCCAUUCUAGAGUUACAUAAUGUGAUUGAUGUUCAUCAGGCUUUUGAUGCUAAUUUAAGGAAUAAGCACAAUCUUGUUGAGUUAGAAUUGGCAUGGAGUAUGAAAUUUGAUGAACUUCGAAAUAAAGAAUGUGAAAUGCAAGUUCUCAACUUGCUGCAACCUCACACAUGUCUUAAAGAGCUUAAACUUUCUUUCUAUGGUGGUAUGAAAUUCCCUUCUUGGAUAGGUGACCCCUCAUUUUCUAAAGUAGUCCACCUAAAACUCUGUUGCUGUAGAAAUUGUACGUCAUUGCCAUCCCUUGGUAGACUACCUUUACUCAGAUAUUUACAUGUAGAAGGCAUGGAUGCAGUGAAGACGGUGGAUCAUGAGUUUUAUGGGGAUGGCUCUCCAUCUGACAAACCUUUUCCAUCUUUGGAGACUUUGAAAUUUGAGGAUAUGUGUGAAUGGGAAAAAUGGUUGCCUUCUACUGGAGUUGACAAAGAAGUUGAAGAUAAAUUUCCUCGUCUCCGUGAACUUACUUUAUUAAAUUGUCCCAAGUUGGUUGGGAAAUUACCCUGCCGCCUCCCCUCCCUUGUGAAGCUCACAAUAUGCAAAUGCCCGAAACUGGGAGAUUCAGUAAUAAGCCUUCCGUCCCUUCAUGAGCUGAAUUUAGAAGAGUGCAAAAUGGUAGCAUUCAGAAACAUGGUUGACAGCACCUCCUUAACAACAUUGAGGAUCCAGAGCAUGUCAGACCUCACACAUAUGGAGGACUUGUUUAUACAGUCUCUGGGAGCACUUAAAGUUCUGGUGAUUUCUAAUUGCACAAAGCUGAUGAGUUUCGGCACUGAGGGAAUUGGAUUAGAAAAUCUUUUGGGUCUUGAACGUUUGAUAAUUGAGGACUGUCCCCAGUUUGUGUCACUGGCAGAGAAAAACCAUGCAAUGUCUCCUUGUGUUGAUAAUUUUGAAUUUCUAGGCUGCAAUAGUGAGCAUCGAUUGUUGAACAAGCUGUGCAGUGUCAUGCCCCUCAAGCAUUCGCAUUGGGAAUCAUGCACAAAAGAUGUGUCUGCCCCACAAGCAGGACUUUUGUCCACACUUAGACGGCUUGUGCUCAGGAAUUGCUGUGCUCUAGAGUCUCUGCCCCAUGAAAUAAUGAUGUUUAGCUGCAGAAAUAAUAAGUGUCUUCUUGAAGACUUGGAGAUCGAAGAUUGUCCUUUGCUUGAAUGCUUUCCAAUUGGCAGGUUACCUACUACAUUGAAAGUGCUAAAAAUUCGAUACUGUACAAAUCUAAAGUAUCUACCAGAGGGGAUGAUGCACAAUGAUAAUAGCACCAACGAUUUGUCCCAUCUAGAGCAGUUGGAGGUUGUUGGCUGUCCAUCUCUUGCAUCUUUUCCAGCAGGCAAAUUACCCAUUCGGCUUAAACAACUUAAGAUUUGGGAUUGCGAGCAAUUGGAGCCACUUUCAGAGAGGAUGAUGCAUGACAGUUCAUCUCUUGAAUAUAUUAGUAUCUGGAAUUGUAAUAUUAUAACAAUCUUCCCUGAGUACCCUUACAGCCUUAUAAAUCUCGUUGACUUAAAUAUAAGCAAUUGUUCUGGCUUACUAUCCUUCCCAGAAACGGCUCUGUUCCUUCCCAACCUAAGAACAUUGAGUAUCUAUGAUUGUGUCAACCUCAAGUCUCUACCUACUUGGAUGCGAGAUGUCACAUCUCUUCAGGAGCUUACAAUAUCUGGCUGUCCAGGUGCUAUGUCAUGUCUAAAAGCUGAUUUACCCACAAACCUAAUAUCCCUUGAGAUAUGGGAUUAUGAAGACGUUGAUGGCAGUACAUCAGAGUGGAACUUGCAUAGUUUAUCUCGUCUUAGAGAUUUUAGCAUUUCUGGUGGAUGUUUUUCAAGUGCAGUUUGCUUUCCUGAUGACAAAUGUCUGCUCCCUCCCUCUCUAAUUUCUGUUUGGAUUGGUGGACUUCCAAAUCUAGAAUCCCUAUCCAUGCGGCUUCAAAGUCUUACCUCUCUAGAAGAGCUAGAGAUUGUCGCUUGUCCAAAACUUUGGUCCUUACCAAAGGAAGGCCUGCCUGCCACACUUGGAAGAUUCAGUAUCAGGGAUUGUCCACUUCUAAAGAAACAGUGCAAUAAGGAGAAAGGAGUAUUUUGGCCUAUGAUAGCUCACAUCCCAUGCGUGGAGAUGGACAGUGAAGACGUGAUGAACUGAUUUCUACAAAUCAGGUUAUGCAUGCUAGCAAAGAAGCUAGUCCUUAUUUUCGAUUAGGAAAAAGCAAUGCCUUUGGGACAAGGACUUGACUGUCUUUACACACAGGCACACCCUACAAAAGGAAGACCAUGAUAUAGGUUUUUCUGAUCAAGAUUGUAUUAAUUACGGAAAAGAAGCAAUAAACCAAAGCAUAACUUUCAGAUGAGCUUGUUGAUAAGAAAAUGACUGCUCAGAAGAAAACUGUCAAAAUCCCACUGAGAUUGAAAAGUUGUGAGAGGGAAGAAAGUCCCAUUUCAACCAAUGAUGGCAUUAGAGUGGAAUUAUGAUGAAAUAUUUCUAAAUUUUGAAGUGAAAUGCAUUUGCUGGAGUGGUUCUGCAGGAAGAUGUGAUAGUCAUGUGUGUACCCCUUCCAAUCAAAGGACCAAACUCAAUACAAAAUUUAGAAAAGCUGCAACAGCUUCCUUUUUGUACAUAAUAUGGGAAAGGAUACAACUUCAAUCUUUGAUCUACAUAUCGAAGCAUAUAAUCAAAUUGGUGGUUCACUGCCUCCCAAUAUUGGUAACUUGAAGAUGCUUCAACGGUUCGAGUUGAGGGGAAACAAACUGUCUGGAACUCUGCCUAAUCAAUUAGGGACUUUGAGACUUGUGAAAUUGAUUAUCCUGGGAAGCAACAAUAUAGCAAGGGGUAUUCCAUCUGAACUGGUCAGUUGACUUCUUUUAGAGUUUUAGAUUUGUCUCAUGAUGCCAUAAUAGGAUCCAUUCCUACAAGUUUGACAAAUGCCUAAAAUCUUGAAAUUGUUUCUCAACAACAAUGGGCUUUCUGGGGACAUACCCUCAUCUUUCUCAACCCUUUCCAUUCUCGCUGUAAUAUAUGUUACUUUCAAUCACCUUUCAGUCGUAUACCCCAGGUUCAACGCCUGAUUGUCUGUGAUUGGUUUAGAGAGAAUAAUUUUUUGGAAUAAUGCCCAGACUUAUCUCACCUCUUGAUUCAAAUGGAGAUGGAAAAUUGCAUAGUCAUAGUAAUAAUAUGUCUUUUAUAAUUGCAGUGGUAAUUUCUGUUUCUGUAAUACUCUGUAUUUCCUUGGUGGUUGUUGUGGUCAGUACUCAUGGAAGGAAAAAGUAUAGCACGAUCUCUAAGUUGGGAGGCAAAGUAGGAUUGACUUUUGCAGAUGCUUCAGUUGAGCUGGGCUAUGACAGUGUGGUCAAAGCAAUUGGGAAUUUCAUUAGGGACCUGAUUGGCACAGGUGGCUAUGGGUCAACAUACGAGGCUGAAUUGGCCCUAGGUUGCCUUGUAGCAGUAACCUAGCUUUCGCUGGGCAGAUAUCAAGGCAAUCAACAGUUUGAUGCAGAGGUCAAACACGGGGCAGAACAACAUAAGAACGUUUUGACUUCUUUCCUUUCAAUUACUAUGGCUUUUUCCUUUGUUUUUCAGCUCAUUAAAAUUUCAUGUCUUUAUCAUGUUUCUAAAAAGGUCUCUUUAUUUUCAUGGAAGUAUAAACUUUUUUAUAUCACAAAAGCACUUUUGGUUGCUAUACAUUGAUUAAUUCCAUGGUAAUAGUUUUGAGAGACAAUAAAAGUUCUUUUGUACAGCCAUGGAUUUAAGAAAUCCAAUUAUUGUUUUUGUUCAGCAAAUAAUGAGUUAAUUAUAUUCAAUUUUCAAUUAUCAAAUGGCUCUUGCAAUUCAACAACUCUUGGCAUGCCUUAUUUGAUGCUAUAAAUUGGAAAGCAUUUGAUUAGAAGAAAAAGUUAUAUUGCAAACACACCAAAAACUACAACUAUUUGGCUGCUGGUGCUUGAUCUUUUAUCUUACCUUUUAUUCUUAGGGUAAAUAAACUCAUCUAAUUUUGAUCUAACUUUAUUUGUACUCAUAUAUUUUUCCAACAAGGCUGACACCUCAUUGUAUUUGUAUAUUGGAAAUUGUUCACAUAGGUCAAAACAAGUGGAUAAAAAGAAUUAUGCCAUGAUUCAAUGACUGAGUCCUUCAACAAAAUGGACAAAUAUAUCCAUGGCUAAGAAAAAGAAAACAUCAUCUAAUACGCGACUGCCUAAUUAUAUCCUAACAAUAAUACUGAUCUUGGCAAAGUUAGAUAUACAAGCAUAUUUCAUCAUGUCAAUCAGGAAUCAGGAUGGAGACAUACUAAAUCCAGGAAUGAAUUUCAGAUGGGAUUAUUUUUUCCCUAUCAAGCCAUUCCUUGCACUAAAGCAGCUGUGCAUCAACCUUUCUUUGGAAACCUUUCCUCUUCAGUUGAGCUUCGUUAGAAGAAUCCCAAUGUAGAUUUGCAGUAGUCAUUGUUUCUGGGCCAUCAGCAUUUAUGGUGAUAAUGUCUGCAAUUGUGAGAAUUGAGAAAGAAUCUGCAAGUUGAUCUGUCAUUUCCCUUCUGGAAUCAACAUGCUCGAAGGUUAAUGGAAUGAGUUGCUCCUAAAUUUUAGCAGAAAUUUCAGUUAUAAACAUGUACUUUUUCCUUUUAAUUUGCAUCAGUGAUAUCUAUAUUUCAACGAGUCAACAAAUUGUGAUGAAUUUUUCAAGCUUUUUCAUAUUUUCAUUUCGAUGUAAUCUGUAAGUUGUUACUCGCUUAGUUAACUUUUAUUGAAUAAAAAACCAUUAGAACCAAAUUUAUUUUGGACAUGCUUGUCCCUUUC
rnacentral:misc_RNA from 1 species